rnacentral:rRNA from 1 species
AUUGAACGCUGGCGGCAGGCCUAACACAUGCCAGUCGAGCGGAUGAAGGGAGCUUGCUCCUGGAUUCAGCGGCGGACGGGUGAGUAAUGCCUAGGAAUCUGCCUGGUAGUGGGGGAUAACGUCCGGAAACGGGCGCUAAUACCGCAUACGUGCUGAGGGAGAAAGUGGGGGAUCUUCGGACAUCACGCUAUCAGAUGAGCCUAGGUCGGAUUAGCUAGUUGGUGGGGUAAAGGCCUACCAAGGCGACGAUCCGUAACUGGUCUGAGAGGAUGAUCAGUCACACUGGAACUGAGACACGGUCCAGACUCCUACGAGACGCAGCAGUGGGGAAUAUUGGACAAUGGGCGAAAGCCUGAUCCAGCCAUGCCGCGUGUGUGAAGAAGGUCUUCGGAUUGUAAAGCACUUUAAGUUGGGAGGAAGGGCAGUAAGUUAAUACCUUGCUGUUUUGACGUUACCAACAGAAUAAGCACCGGCUAACUUCGUG